AUCUGCAAUUUCAUGGUACGAUACAAGAAUUAAUGUAUAAUUUUUUUUUUUUGGCGAUUUUGUAAAUUGGGGAUUAAAUAUUUUUUAAAAAAACUAACCCCAUCUGUUGCUAAAACAAUGAAUUCGUCUUUUCUUGUGAGUUUUCUGUAAGAGACUUGAGGUGUUGAGAUGAGACCGUAAUCUUUGAGGCAAAAAUCUCCUACGGAUCUUGACAUGGCUAGACCUGGAUAAUCUCCAUCUGAGAACCGCCCGGGAGUCACCUACGUUUGCAACCACCAAAUGCUCUCCCUGAUGAUCAAAAUGGUCAAGGGAUUGAAUAAAAAUUGGAAAACAUAGGAUGUUAUCUUCAAGGAAAUUCACCUGUUUGAUAAUGGUCACGGCUGUUGUUCCACUACAGAAACAAUCAAUAGAUGAAUCCAAGCUGAGUUCUUGAUCAACUUCUUUGAAAGAUUCUUCAAGAGCAGCUUCCCAUUUAGAAACCAACCGAUUUCGUUGUUUUCCACCAUUGUUAUCUGGUUCAACACAAGCUUCAGAAACCACGCCAUUUUCAGGUUGACAUAGCUUCUUCUUGAUUGAUUUAGAGAGCUUCGUGGGUAGAACGUCUCGUGCAUGGCGAGCAACCCUAUGACCAGAUGGACCAUGACCAUCAAAAACUCCACAAAAGAUCAAAUCUUUCUCUCCUGAGAAAUCCUAUCAUCAUCCAUAAUAAUCAAAUUAAGGGACAACAAACAAAAUAGUAUAGAGUUAUUCCUUUGUUUUUA